UNGGCAUUUAGAGGAAGUAAAAGUCGUAACAAGGUUUCCGUAGGUGAACCUGCGGAAGGAUCAUUAUCGUAUAACUUGGAGGCAUUGGCUGUCGGCUGACCUCUUCUAACCAAGCUGGUCGUGCACGCCUUUAGGUGUGUCCUCAUCACCAAUACAUCCAUCUCACCCUUUGUGCAUCACCGCGUGGGCCUCCCUUUCUUUUAACAAGUAAGGGGGCCCGCGUCUUUUACACAGACACAUCACUAGUUUUAGAAUGUCUUUUUUGCUCUGUGCAAUAGCAAUCAAUACAACUUUCAACAACGGAUCUCUUGGCUCUCGCAUCGAUGAAGAACGCAGCGAAAUGCGAUACGUAAUGUGAAUUGCAGAAUUCAGUGAAUCAUCGAAUCUUUGAACGCAUCUUGCGCCCCUUGGCAUUCCGAGGGGCACACCCGUUUGAGUGUCGUGAAAUCCUCAACCUUUACCGUUUCUUGCAUUCGGCAAAGGCUUGGACUUUGGAGGCUUUUUGCUGGUCUUUUCUUUAAAGCCAGCUCCUCUUAAAUCUAUUAGCGAGGUUUUGUCCUUUGCUCAAUCCUCGGACGUGGAUAAGUUGCUUCUACGUCCCUGAGCUUUGCUAUCCUUUUAAAACCCUUGCUUCUAAUUGCCUCAANNCAUCNGGACCUGUUGACCUCAAAUCGGGUGAGACUACCCGCUGAACUUAAGCAUAUCAAUAAGCGGAGGAAAAGAAACUAGG
rnacentral:sRNA from 1 species